AACGAACGCUGGCGGCAGGCCUCGAACAUGCAAGUCUAGGGGGUGCAGCAAUGCAUCACCGGCGGACGGGUGCGUAACGCGUGGGAAUAUACCUUUGGUUCGGAACAACUGCGGGAAACUGCAGCUAAUACCGAAUGUGCCCUAACGGGGAAAGAUUUAUCGCCAAAGGAUUAGCCCGCGUAGGAUUAGCUAGUUGGUGAGGUAAUGGCUCACCAAGGCUCCGAUCCUUAGCUGCNCUGAGAGGAAGAUCAGCCACACUGGGACUGAGACAC
rnacentral:rRNA from 1 species